rnacentral:rRNA from 1 species
UACGAAGGGUGCAAACGUUGCUCGGAAUUAUUGGGCGUAAAGCGCACGUAGGCGGCAUUGCAAGUCGGAUGUGAAAUCCCUCGGCUUAACCAAGGAAGUGCAUCCGAAACUGCAGUGCUUGAGUACUUAAGAGGAUCGCGGAAUUCCCGGUGUAGAGGUGAAAUUCGUAGAUAUCGGGAGGAACACCGGUGGCGAAGGCGGCAUCCUGGACCGACACUGACACUGAGGAGCGAAAGCCAGGGGAGCAAACGGG